AUGAACGCUGGCGGCGUGCCUAAUACAUGCAAGUCGAGCGAACAGACGAGGAGCUUGCUCCUCUGACGUUAGCGGCGGACGGGUGAGUAACACGUGGAUAACCUACCUAUAAGACUGGGAUAACUUCGGGAAACCGGAGCUAAUACCGGAUAAUAUAUUGAACCGCAUGGUUCAAUAGUGAAAGACGGUUUUGCUGUCACUUAUAGAUGGAUCCGCGCCGCAUUAGCUAGUUGGUAAGGUAACGGCUUACCAAGGCGACGAUGCGUAGCCGACCUGAGAGGGUGAUCGGCCACACUGGAACUGAGACACGGUCCAGACUCCUACGGGAGGCAGCAGUAGGGAAUCUUCCGCAAUGGGCGAAAGCCUGACGGAGCAACGCCGCGUGAGUGAUGAAGGUCUGCGGAUCGUAAAACUCUGUUAUUAGGGAAGAACAAAUGUGUAAGUAACUAUGCACGUCUUGACGGUACCUAAUCAGAAAGCCACGGCUAACUACGU
rnacentral:rRNA from 1 species